UAAUUUUUAUUAUAUAUAUAACAAACUAUAUAUACAUAAAUGUAUAUAAGUUUUUUAAUGGAGCUUAAAUUUAUUAAUUUUCUCUAUAAUUUUAGUUUUAAUAAUAUCAAAACGGGUCAUAGUGGGUCGACACGAACACGACACGAUUUUUUACGGGUCGGGUUAGAGUUGAGAUAAUUAGACAUGAGUCAAAAAAUGGGUCGACACGCUUGACACGAAAUAUAAAGUGGGUCACAUAAAAUAUGACACGAACACGACACGAUGACACGUUUUGCCACCCCUAUAAAAAAAAGACUUGAAUUUGACUAAUGGGGUUAGGCUGAGUUGUCUCCACUAGUGCUUGAAAACAACACCUUAUUUUAUUCCCUAUCUUAUUAAUUAAUUGAUAUAUAUUAUAUAACUAAACAAGUACUUUCCGUGAGUCAAUUCUCCCAAUAUAAUAGAAUCCAUCCUAAGAGCAUAAUGGAGGUUUUUUAUUGGACGUAUUGUCACAUAUACUCUAUGUGAUUUAAUUUUAAGAGGAAAAUUUGAAUAUCUAUGCAUUAAUUGAGGGAUAAUUUUUUCUCAAAUUGAAUACAUAUGAAAACUGAAAAUAUGUGACAAUUUUACCUAAAACCCAAUACUACCCCUCUCAUAACUCAACCCCAUCUCUCUCUCUUUCUCAUCUCUCUCUUCGUCUAUCUCUCUCUCUCUCUCUCUCUCUCUCUCUCUCUCUCUCUCACAACCGACCGCAUCACAACUUCCAAUCCCCCUCACCACCACCCAAAGCGCCGGCCUCUCACCACCGCCCAAAACGCCGGCUCCUCACCACCGUCCACAACACCGUAAACAACAUCGACACACAAAGACUACUGGAGAAGAAGAAGGUCCGAUGCCGCGCACAAAGACCAAUUUUUUUUUGGAUUUUUAUGGUCGGGUCCGAUGGGCCCAACAAUUAAAAGGCCCAAAUAUAUAGGGACCUUUUAUCCCGAUUAUUUUGUAAAAAUCGGGAUAAAAAGUCCCACUUAAAAUGCUAAGUGGCAAGUGCAUAAAAAUAGCAUUUCAAACAUUGUUUUUUGUCCGUUUUCUAAACAAGACACUUGUUCUAAAUUUUUAUUUAAGGCUCCAAAUGUAACAGUGUUUAUCUAAUUUUUUAUUUUUUCAAGUGUAAAAAGUGGAAUAAAAAGUCUCUUUUGUUGUAGUGAUUUAUUGCGAAUUUUCUCAAAGGGUUAUGCUUCCCUUCAAAAUUGAUCAACUGGAUCUUGAAGUAUUUGUGCAGUACCUCUUACACUCUUAUAUUAAAUGGUAGACUUUAUGGUGCUUUCAAAGAUGAGAAGGGGUUGUGACAAAAAGAUCCAAUAUCUCCUCUAUUAUACGAGGGUGCUCACUCAUGCAUCUCUUUCUAAAGGCUUUGGUUACCAUCCUUUCUAAUUAGAUCUAGGAGGUGUCUAAGUGGUUCAACCAAUAUGCUUGGCCUUCUAAUCUUUUUGACUGGCAUAACAAGUCCAACUUGCAGCAAAGAGGUUUGAUUACCUUUGUGUUUGAUGCUGUUGUAGCUGCACUUGUGUACCACAUUUGAUGUAAUCGAAAUAUGCGUGUCAUUGAUGAAGUUUGUAGCUCAAUCAAGAUGAUUAGUGACCAAGAGCAGAGUUUGAAAGCUAGAGCUUUGUUUUGUAAAGGUAAAAAGCUUACGAAAAGAGAAAAAUAUGUUCUAGAUGUAAUCGACAAUUUCUAAGUUAUUUGGUUACUGCUUAAGCA